GACGAACGCUGGCGGCGUGCUUAACACAUGCAAGUCGAACGAUGAAACCUAGCUUGCUAGGUCGAUUAGUGGCGAACGGGUGAGUCACACGUGACUAACCUGCCCCUUUCUCUGGGAUAACGCUUCGAACGGAGUGCUAAUACCGGAUACUCACAUCGAGGCACAUGCCUUGAUGUGGAAAGUUUUUCGGAAAGGGAUGGAGUCGCGGCCUAUCAGCUUGUUGGUGAGGUAACGGCUCACAAAGGCGACGACGGGUAGCCGGCCUGAGAGGGCGACCGGCCACACUGGGACUGAGACACGGCCCAGACUCCUACGGGAGGCAGCAGUGGGGAAUAUUGCACAAUGGGCGCAAGCCUGAUGCAGCGACGCCGCGUGAGGGAUGAAGGUCUUCGGAUUGUAAACCUCUUUCAGUAGGGACGAAGCGAAAGUGACGGUACCUAAAGAAGAAGCACCGGCUAACUACGUGCCAGCAGCCGCCGUAA
rnacentral:rRNA from 1 species